UUUUUUCGGUGUCUUCAUUUUGACAAUAAUAAGUCGGCUCCAAAAUGCGAUUUUAGGUGCCUCCGGUAGUUACAGAUGUAGGCCUAAAAUUCGUGACUCCUGCCUGACGCAGCACCCUCUCCCUUUUAAGAAUGAAGUUACUUCUAGAAAAACAAAUCCAAGGUAAUGAUGCCGGGGCUACCUGGCGAGAAGCUGUGUGAGAACUAUAAAUGCCUGGGGACAAAAAGUUGCGAACGCGCGCCUUGACGUUACCAUGGUUACUACACAGCCUAAGCUAAGCCUACCACCGAUCCUGUCAGAAAAGUCCCGCCCCACGACCUUAAAGGCCAAUGGCGUGCACCGUCGCGCUGGUCUCCGCAGGAAGAACAGCCCCUGAGCCAAUGGGAGCGCGUCGUUUCUAUAGUUCUCGCCGGAAGAACGCCUUGGCGUCUCUGGGGCGGGCGCGGUUGCUAUGACGCCCGGGACUCCGCUGGCACCUGCCCCUGGCUGCGGAGCGUCUACGGAGCGGAGGACUCCGGACCCUCGGCGCGCCCUCGGAAGACAGUUUCCGGCCGCUUUUUGAGGUUCCCGCCACAGCCCCGAGGAGGAAAGCACCUGUUCUCCGCUCUUUUUCACCAUGCCAGGUCUUUCCCGCCUCUCUCCCCAGCAUGGCUCCGAACUACAGGGGGAAAGCCUCUCCCUGGCGCGGCCUUUCUAGCCAUGGGCUUGCCUGAUUCUGUCUUAGGAUUCUUAAGUCUCUGGGACCCCAAAGCCGCAGGCACUUAGAAUUAGGAUGCCGCUCCUGUUCAGAGAGGGCUUAGAACACCCGCAGUUAGUUAGGUAGGCGUUCCAUGUCUCCCUUUCCAGGCAAACACCCUGAAGCUCGCGGCCAUUUAUUAACGAGGUCCACCGAGCCCCGGCUUUCCCGGGCUGUGAACAAAGAACUGCCGUUUUCUCUUUUGCUGCCCUGUGUUCCCCACGCAGAACCUUAAUUCCCGGAAUUGAAGCUCUGGAGGCCUUUUGCAUCCUCAAACUCAGACGUCAUCAACCUGCAUUCUCCUUCUGAAACUUGUACCUCUCUGCGAAUCCUUGCUUUUAUUGCAAGGAUUUGUACUACUGCUUCCAACCCAUUCCAGCCACAACUGACUGAGGAUUACACAGCUAACUUCAGAGAGGGGGCCACAAAUUCAUUGGGGAAAAGUUCAGUUAGACAUACUUCAUCAUCUUGAGAGAGAAAGAAUUGAAUCUCAUGCCACUACUGGAGAACUACUCUAUUUUGUCUAGUCCCUAUUCCAGCACAGUGAAGACAUGCUGAGGACUACUUCCAGAAAUCUAGAAGAACUUUCAUUGAGAAACAUGGAAAAAAUGAAACAAGUGGGAAAUGAUGCAAGCUAUGUCUGUAACUUACCAAAGGAAAGAGAAACAUUUUCUCAUGGUUAUGAAAAGGAAAACAAACAUCUUAUACAUGAGUUUAAAGAACUCCAAUGCAAACAAG